AUUGAACGCUGGCGGCAUGCUUUACACAUGCAAGUCGAACGGUAACAGGCCGCAAGGUGCUGACGAGUGGCGAACGGGUGAGUAAUGCAUCGGAACGUGCCCAGUCGUGGGGGAUAACUACUCGAAAGAGUAGCUAAUACCGCAUACGAUCUAUGGAUGAAAGCGGGGGACCGUAAGGCCUCGCGCGAUUGGAGCGGCCGAUGUCAGAUUAGGUAGUUGGGGGGGUAAAGGCUCACCAAGCCAACGAUCUGUAGCUGGUCUGAGAGGACGACCAGCCACGCUGGGACUGAGACACGGCCCAGACUCCUACGGGAGGCAGCAGUGGGGAAUUUUGGACAAUGGGCGCAAGCCUGAUCCAGCAAUGCCGCGUGCAGGAAGAAGGCCUUCGGGUUGUAAACUGCUUUUGUACGGAACGAAACGGCUCUGGUUAAUACCCGGGGCUAAUGACGGUACCGUAAGAAUAAGCACCGGCUAACUACGUG
rnacentral:rRNA from 1 species